rnacentral:lncRNA from 1 species
CCAGCCUCUGGCCGAUCUCCAGAAUUCCUUUUCCUAGCCCCAGCCGUUUAAGAGAUAACUAAGCCGAACAACCUUGGAGAAGAACAGGCCCCCUUAAGACAGUAGAUUUCCACAUAUAUGCCUAUAUAUAUUUACUCUUUUCUUGGGUUAGUGCAGCAGUUCACUAAUCUGACUGCUGCCCCUUCUCGCCUCAUUAAAGGUGAUCUGUUCCUGUAAAGUGCCGGUCUUGUUCUUUUCCUGAACCUCGACUUCUCUAACUCCCUUACCCUGCAGGGGGCAUUUACUGAGCACUUGGUUUAUUCCUCAACACUGAGAUUCUUUAUUUGUACUCUCGGAUUCUUAGGGCCCGAGGAAGUGGCUGAGACAUCCUGAGAGAACCCAGGCUGAGAGUUUCCACGGCUCACCCCAGGCUCAGUAACCUUCAUUGACGUCUACCCUCUGACACUGUGUGACCCUCAGGGUAUAAACUCCGACAGCAGCCGUCACCGGGGACAAAUGAGAGCAUCUCACAUUGGAAACUCCUUAAGGAGCUACAUCGGCCCCUCGUUCCUACCAGCUAUGAAGUUAUCUACUUCUUGUUUAUCUCAUCAAGGCUUUGACAUAUUGCCAUCACGGACAAACAGGAUAAUUAGACAUCGAUUCUGCCAAGACAGGCUCACUGUCUACAAAUGUUAUUGGAUGAAGACAUCAACCACUACACAGCAAGUUGGAGAGAUCCCCAUAUCAAAGAAGCAGGGAUGUCAGAGACAGGGGCUCUGCACUCAGAACAAGGGCUCCUGCCACCGAGGGUCGGGUCACUUGACCUGGAGGCAGUUGGCUUAAGCCGUGAAGGCCGUGUGAGAUGGCCACUUUGAGAGGAGAUGGGUGGCUGGGAGGCCUGACAGAUGGAGAACCUGGGCAGAUACAAAGGACCACUGUCUGGGCCAUAGUUGUCUCUCAAAAUGAACCAUUGGAUGACUGCUUCCGGCGCAGAGAAUGAACAGAAAAUGGGAGUAACAUCCGGACCAGAGGCAGGGAGCCUCACAUAAGGGCCUCAAGGCUUCCGCCUUUACACUGCUGGGCAAAAGGGGCUCCGGGGGGUUUGGGGCAGUGACGAGGGACUCCAAGACUUUGGCCAAACCUGUGCCGACGGAAGGCCCUGUCCCACGGCUGGAUUAUGUGGUGGACCCCUCCUUGCAGCGGGCCCCAAACUGCUGUCCUGCAUCUUAGUUCCCUGUGACAAGCACCCAGAAAGGGCUAGAGUGGGAACAAGCCCCCGUGGGCCUCUGGGGGUCUCCAGCUCCCCAGUAUUGGCCCCUGGUCAUGGGGCCCCACCCACCUACAGCUUUGUUUCCGGGAUUGGCCUCCAAGAUGUACAGCAUCUGAGGACACUCUUCCUGUGAAAGAAGGUGCCUCUGGGCACAGCCUCCAGGCACCUGGCACCAGCCUGUCUGGGUGGCAGUGUGGAGGCUGCGUUCCCUCCUGCCAGCAAGCUCAGCAAUGCAUUCUCAGAGAAGCAGACUCAGGUCAACAAGCGGAGCACACGAAUGUGCCCGGGACCAGCUUGCGCUGCCCUUCAAAGUGGACCCCUCUGUCUCAGGGGCUGAAUGCUCACAAUGUUUGGCCCAAGAGCACAGCCCAGACAGGCAGCUGGUGGGGACCCUCCCCCAGCCUGAGCUCUGAGUCCUACCCACGAGACUCGGUGGAGCAGGUGCUCCAGCUGGACUCGUCUCCCAUGAGAGAAGCCAUCUCGUUUCUUAGAUUGCUGGUCUCCCCGAGCUGGAAGGUAGCCCAGAGAUCCCCCAGUCUGGCUCUUUUUCUCCAACAAGAAAACAUCUAAGCCCCCAGCUGGUGCCGAAUGUCAGCCCAGAGCCCAGUGGGAAGCCACAUGAAGGAGUCUGGGGAGGUGAGAAGACAGUGUCUUGCUCCCCACCCUGGUACCCCACCCAAGGCUGAGCCCCCACUGGGAGGUGCAGGAGGUGAAGCCCAUUGCCAGGUGAAUUGGUCCAUUUUUAAGAGGAAGUCUCGGUGAGGAGCCCACAUUGUAGACAGAUCAUGGGAUUUGAAAUCAGCUUGAAUCUCUGAGAUGUUGGUUCUCCCAAGCCAUAAACUCCUUUAAGUGGAGCCUACUGAAAUCCCAGUGUUGUUUCAGGUUAUUAUUUCAAUCAGAAGGCAUUAGACUCCACAGAUAAGAGCAAUAUUCUGGAAUUUGAUCCUUUAUUGGGGAAGUGAUUAUUUGGCUGUGAAAUCUCAUAAAGCAGUAAUAACUGUGAAAUCACCAUGUACAUUUUAUCAUUGAGCUGUCCCCUCACUCCACAUCUACUGAGAAAUAAAACAGGACUCUAAAUUUGUUGUUCA